rnacentral:rRNA from 1 species
UGGGGGAUAUUGCACAAUGGGCGAAAGCCUGAUGCAGCGACGCCGCGUGGGGGAUGAAGGCCCUCGGGUUGUAAACUUCUUUUGCUCUGAACAAGGCGCACCAUGGGGUGUGUUGAGUGUAGGGGUUGAUUAGCGCCGGCUAACUACGUGCCAGCAGCCGCGGUAAUACGUAGGGCGCGAGCGUUGUCCGGAAUUAUUGGGCGUAAAGGGCUUGUAGGUGGCUGGUUGCGUCUGUCGUGAAAGCUCAUGGCUUAACUGUGGGUUUGCGGUGGGUACGGGCUGGCUUGAGUGCAGUAGGGGAGGCUGGAAUUCCUGGUGUAGCGGUGGAAUGCGCAGAUAUCAGGAGGAAUACCGGUGGCGAAGGCGGGUCUCUGGGCUGUUACUGACACUGAGGAGCGAAAGCAUGGGGAGCGAACAGG